rnacentral:rRNA from 1 species
UACGGCUCAGUAACACGUGGACAAUCUGCCCUGAGGAGGGGGAUAACCCCGGGAAACUGGGGAUAAUACCCCAUAGACUAUAGAUGCUGGAAUGCACCAUAGUUGAAAGGUCCGCCGCCUCAGGAUGAGUCUGCGGCCGAUUAGGUUGUUGUUGGGGUAAAGGCCCAACAAGCCAGUAAUCGGUACGGGUUGUGGGAGCAAGAGCCCGGAGAUGGAUUCUGAGACACGAAUCCAGGCCCUACGGGGCGCAGCAGGCGCGAAAACUUUACAAUGCGGGAAACCGUGAUAAGGGAACCCCGAGUGCCCGUAAAAUCGGGCUGUUCACCAGUGUAAAUAGCUGGUGGAGAAAGGGCCGGGCAAGACCGGUGCCAGCCGCCGCGGUAAUACCGGCGGCUCGAGUGGUGGCCGCUAUUACUGGGCUUAAAGCGUUCGUAGCUGGAUUGUUAAGUCUCUGGGGAAAUCUUCCGGCUUAACCGGAAGGCGUCUCAGGGAUACUGGCAAUCUAGGGACCGGAAGAGGUGAGAGGUACUCCAGGGGUAGGAGUGAAAUCCUGUAAUCCUUGGGGGACCACCUGUGGCGAAGGCGUCUCACCAGGACGGCUCCGACAGUGAGGGACGAAAGCUGGGGGAGCAAACCGGAUUAGAUACCCGGGUAGUCCCAGCUGUAAACGAUGCGCGUUAGGUGUAUCGGUGACCACGAGUCAUCGAGGUGCCGAAGGGAAACCGUGAAACGUGCCGCCUGGGAAGUACGGUCGCAAGGCUGAAACUUAAAGGAAUUGGCGGGGGAGCACCACAACGGGUGGAGCCUGCGGUUUAAUCGGACUCAACGCCGGGAAGCUCACCGGAUAAGACAGCUGGAUGAUAGCCGGGCUGAAGACUCUGCUUGACUAGCUGAGAGGAGGUGCAUGGCCGUCGUCAGUUCGUACUG